rnacentral:rRNA from 1 species
UACAUGGGGUGCAAACGUUGCUCGGAAUUAUUGGGCGUAAAGCGCACGUAGGCGGUUCGUUAAGUCGGAUGUGAAAGCCCUCGGCUCAACUGAGGAAGUGCACCCGAAACUGGCGAGCUUGAGUACGAAAGAGGAUCGCGGAAUUCCCGGUGUAGAGGUGAAAUUCGUAGAUAUCGGGAGGAACACCCGUGGCGAAGGCGGCUCUCUGGGACGGUACUGACGCUGAGACGCGAAAGCGUGGGGAGCGAACAGG